CCCUUAGAUGUCCUGGGCCGCACGCGCGCUACACUGAUGCAUUCAACGAGCUUUACCUUGGCCGAGAGGCCUGGGCAAUCUUUUAAACCUGCAUCGUGAUAGGGAUAGAUUAUUGCAAUUAUUAAUCUUGAACGAGGAAUUCCUAGUAAACGCAAAUCAUCAAUUUGCAUUGAUUACGUCCCUGCCCUUUGUACACACCGCCCGUCGCACCUACCGAUUGAAUGGUCCGGUGAAAUCUUCGGAUUGAGACUUUGUUUUCUUCACGGAAAACGCUGUUUUAAAAAGUUGAUUAAACCUUACCAUUUAGAGGAAGGUGAAGUCGUAACA
rnacentral:rRNA from 1 species